AAAACGACUCUCGGCAACGGAUAUCUCGGCUCUCGCAUCGAUGAAGAACGUAGCGAAAUGCGAUACUUGGUGUGAAUUGCAGAAUCCCGUGAACCGUCGAGUCUUUGAACGCAAGUUGCGCCCGAAGCCAUCCGGCCGAGGGCACGCCUGCCUGGGCGUCACA
rnacentral:rRNA from 1 species